AGUCUGAUGGAGCAACGCCGCGUGAGUGAAGAAGGGUUUCGGCUCGUAAAGCUCUGUUGGUAGUGAAGAAAGAUAGAGGUAGUAACUGGCCUUUAUUUGACGGUAAUUACUUAGAAGGUCACGGCUAACUACGUGCCAGCAGCCGCGGUAAUACGUAGGUGGCAAGCGUUGUCCGGAUUUAUUGGGCGUAAAGCGAGUGCAGGCGGUUCAAUAAGUCUGAUGUGAAAGCCUUCGGCUCAACCGGAGAAUUGCAUCAGAAACUGUUGAACUUGAGUGCAGAAGAGGAGAGUGGAACUCCAUGUGUAGCGGUGGAAUGCGUAGAUAUAUGGAAGAACACCAGUGGCGAAGGCGGCUCUCUGGUCUGCAACUGACGCUGAGGCUCGAAAGCAUGGGUAGCGAACAGGAUUAGAUACCCUGGUAGUCCAUGCCGUAAACGAUGAGUGCUAAGUGUUGGGAGGUUUCCGCCUCUCAGUGCUGCAGCUAACGCAUUAAGCACUCCGCCUGGGGAGUACGACCGCAAGGUUGAAACUCAAAGGAAUUGACGGGGGCCCGCACAAGCGGUGGAGCAUGUGGUUUAAUUCGAAGCAACGCGAAGAACCUUACCAGGUCUUGACAUCCAGUGCAAACCUAAGAGAU
rnacentral:rRNA from 1 species